rnacentral:rRNA from 1 species
GACGAACGCUGGCGGCGUGCCUAAUACAUGCAAGUAGAACGCACAGUUUAUACCGUAGCUUGCUACACCAUAGACUGUGAGUUGCGAACGGGUGAGUAACGCGUAGGUAACCUGCCUGGUGGCGGGGGAUAACUAUUGGAAACGAUAGCUAAUACCGCAUAAUAUUGAUUAUUGCAUGAUAAUUGAUUGAAAGAUGCUAUUGCAUCACUACCAGAUGGACCUGCGUUGUAUUAGCUAGUAGGUGAGGUAACGGCUCACCUAGGCGACGAUACAUAGCCGACCUGAGAGGGUGAUCGGCCACACUGGGACUGAGACACGGCCCAGACGCCUACGGGAGGCAGCAGUAGGGAAUCUUCGGCAAUGGACGAAAGUCUGACCGAGCAACGCCGCGUGAGUGAAGAAGGUUUUCGGAUCGUAAAGCUCUGUUGUAAGAGAAGAACGGGUGUGAGAGCGGAAAGUUCACACUGUGACGGUAUCUUACCAGAAAGGGACGGCUAACUACGUG